GCAGGGUGGCCACCCAGUAAUCAGCACAAGUUAGAAUGUGGGCAACUCUGCAGUUGUUGCGCAGGCACUUUGGUGACUCUAGAUAACCUUGGGCUGAUCGCACGUCCCCGUGACGGCGACGACGCAUUUGGAUGUCUGCCCUAUCAACUUUCGAUGGUACUUUCUGCGCCUACCAUGGUGACCACGGGUAACGGGGAAUCAGGGUUCGAUUCCAGAGAGGGAGCCUGAAAAACAGCUACCACACCCAAGGAAGGCAGCAGGCGUGCAAAUUACCCACUCCCGACGCGGGGAGUUAGUGAC